rnacentral:rRNA from 1 species
AUUUGAGGUUGGGGGGGGGUCUUAAACAUGCAGUCGACGAACGUGAUAAGAUGAGGCUUCGGCUGAGUUUUUAUCUUUGUUAGUGGCAAACGGGUGAGUAAUACAUAAGUAACCUACCCUUAAGUUUGGGAUAACUCUUCGAAAGGAGAGCUAAUACCGAAUACUUUCAAUUUUCCGCAUGGAGAAUUGAUGAAAGAUUUAUCGCUUAAGGAGGGGCUUAUGUCUGAUUAGCUUGUUGGCAGGGUAACGGCCUACCAAGGCGAUGAUCAGUAGCUGGUCUGAGAGGAUGGUCAGCCACACUGGGACUGAGAUACGGCCCAGACUCCUACGGGAGGCAGCAGUGGGGAAUAUUGCGCAAUGGGCGAAAGCCUGACGCAGCGACGCCGCGUGAGUGAAGAAGUCUUUCGGGAUGUAAAGCUCUGUCUAGAGGGACGAUUAUGACGGUACCUCUGAAGGAAGCCCCGGCUAACUACGUGCCAGCAGCCGCGGUAAUACGUAGGGGGCAAGCGUUAUCCGGAUUUAUUGGGCAUAAAGUGCAUGUAGGCUGUAUAUUAAGUCAGAUGUUAAAUUCUUAAGCUCAACUUAAGGUCGCAUUUGAGACUGAUAUACUAGAGGUCAGUAGAGGGAAGCGGAACUCACGGUGUAGCGGUGAAAUGCGUAGAUAUCGUGAGGAACACCAGUUGCGAAGGCGGCUUCCUGGCCUGAUUCUGACGCUGAGGUGCGAAAGCGUGGGGAGCGAACGGGAUUAGAUACCCCGGUAGUCCACGCCGUAAACGUUGUUCACUAGGUGUAGGAAGUAUCGACCCUUUCUGUGCCACAGAUAAUUCGUUAAGUGAAUCGCCUGGGAAGUACGACCGCAAGGUUA